rfam:Xanthomonas fragariae strain PD5205 genome assembly, chromosome: 1
AUUUAUCGAGCUUACACUGUGGUUCCUCCGCACCGUCCGCACCCAACUGGUGACUGCUCGCUACUUUUUGUUAGCC